UGACUACAGCCACUACUACGGGACCAUCGAGUACCUGUGCUACAAGAUUCUUGGUGACAUCAUUGAGAAUUCCAGGAUUGUCCUGCAGAUCAACAAUGCCUGUCUGGCUGCAGAUG
rnacentral:pre_miRNA from 3 species